UGGUCUAACGGUUAGAACGCUGGGCUUGUAAUCCUGGGGUCCCGGGUUCAAUUCCCGA
rnacentral:tRNA from 1 species